UGAGUAACCUGCCCUUCACUCUGGGAUAACUCCGGGAAACCGGGGCUAAUACUGGAUAUGACUCGAACAGGCAUCUGUUUCGGGUGGAAAGAUUUUAUUGGUGGAGGUUGGACUCGCGGCCUAUCAGCUUGUUGGUGAGGUAAUGGCUCACCAAGGCGACGACGGGUAGCCGGCCUGAGAGGGCGAUCGGCCACACUGGGACUGAGACACGGCCCAGACUCCUACGGGAGCA
rnacentral:rRNA from 1 species